rnacentral:rRNA from 1 species
ACGUAGGGGGCGAGCGUUGUCCGGAGUUACUGGGCGUAAAGCGCACGCAGGCGGUCCUGCGCGUUUCCGGUGCCAGCCGUUCGCUUAACGAAGGGAGUGCCGGGAAGACGGUGGGACUUGAGGGCCUCAGAGGGACAUAGAAUUCCGGGUGGAGUGGUGAAAUGCGUAGAUAUCCGGAGGAAUACCAAAGGCGAAGGCAGUGUCCUGGGAGGUUUGACUGACGCUGAGGUGCGAAAGCCAGGGGAGCGAACGGGAUUAGAUACCCCGGUAGUCCUGGCCGUAAACGAUGACCAUUAGGUGUGCGGAGUAUCGACCCUCUGCGUGCCGACGCUAACGCAUUAAAUGGUCCGCCUGGGGAGUACGGUCGCAAGAUUA